rnacentral:sRNA from 12 species
UAAGGCUGAUCUCUGAGCGGAACAAAAACCGCUAAAGUGAGUUGCGCGCCAUAGAAGCCGUGUGUUACUUCUUGGUAUGCUUCACAAUCUCUGUUCGAAGUGCAGAGAAGCACACAACAAUUCGCCGUCAGAAACAAGCGUCUUGCACAGGGAAGUGCGUACCAAACGCGACCUUGAGUUGUGACGUAUUGCAACGCGUGUAGGUAAACAAAUUUUGGAGAAAGGCUUUGUGAGUACCUGUUCAACCGGGUAAAGUAACCUCGCAAGGUCUUUU